rnacentral:rRNA from 1 species
UCGGAACGUACCUCGUAGUGGGGGAUAACUCGGCGAAAGCCGUGCUAAUACCGCAUAUGCUCUACGGAGGAAAGCAGGGGACCGCAAGGCCUUGUGCUAUGGGAGCGGCCGAUGUCCGAUUAGCUAGUUGGUGAGGUAAUGGCUCACCAAGGCGACGAUCGGUAGCUGGUCUGAGAGGAUGAUCAGCCACACUGGGACUGAGACACGGCCCAG